AGAGUUUGAUCCUGGCUCAGAGCGAACGCUGGCGGAAUGCUUAACACAUGCAAGUCGCACGGGGGCUUCGGCCUUAGUGGCGGACGGGUGAGUAACGCGUAGGAAUGUGUCCGAGGGUGGGGGAUAACGUUGGGAAACUGACGCUAAUACCGCAUAUCUCCUGAGGGGGAAAGCAGUGAUGCGCCCACGGAGCAGCCUGCGUCCGAUUAGCUUGUUGGUGAGGUAAAGGCUUACCAAGGCGACGAUCGGUAGCUGGUCUGAGAGGAUGAUCAGCCACACUGGAACUGAGACACGGUCCAGACUCCUACGGGAGGCAGCAGUGGGGAAUAUUGGACAAUGGGCGCAAGCCUGAUCCAGCAAUUCCGCGUGGGUGAAGAAGGUCUUCGGAUUGUAAAGCCCUUUCGUUGGGGACGAUGAUGACGGUACCCAAAGAAGAAGCCCCGGCUAACUUCGUGCCAGCAGCCGCGGUAAUACGAAGGGGGCUAGCGUUGCUCGGAAUGACUGGGCGUAAAGGGCGCGUAGGCGGCACAACUCGUCAGGCGUGAAAUUCCUGAG
rnacentral:rRNA from 1 species